rnacentral:rRNA from 1 species
GAAGUUUAACGGCCGCGGUAUUUUGACCGUGCGAAGGUAGCAUAAUCAUUAGUUUUUUAAUUGAAAACUGGAAUGAAAGGUUGAACGGGGAGCAGCUGUCUGAAAUUUUAAGAGAUGAAUUUUAAGUUUUUGUGAAGAUGCAAAAGUGAGCUCAUAAGACGAGAAGACCCUAUCAAGCUUUAUACGAUAAAUUAGAAGAAAAAUUUUGGGAUUUAGGUAUUUUGUUGGGGCGACAAGUAUUGGAUAACAUACUGGGAAGAAGGAUUUGUUAUUAAAACUAUAAUUAGACCCAAGAGUUUUGGGAAGCAGAAAAAGUUACUGUAGGGAUAACAGCGUUAUUAAAUUGGAGAGCUCUAAUUGAUAAUUUAGAUUGCGACCUCGAUGUUGAAUUAGGAGCCCUUUAACUCGCAGGAGAGCUAGAAGGCAGUCUGUUCGACUGUUAAAUUCCUACA